rnacentral:rRNA from 1 species
GAGUUUGAUCCUGGCUCAGAAUCAACGCUGGCGGCGUGCCUAACACAUGCAAGUCGUACGAGAAAGUGGAGCAAUCCAUGAGUACAGUGGCGACCGGGUGAGUAACACGUGACUACCUACCUCUUAGUGGGGGAUAACUCCGGGAAACCGGAGCUAAUACCGCAUAACAUCGCAAGAUCAAAGCAGCAAUGCGCUGGGAGAGGGGGUCGCGGCUGAUUAGCUAGUUGGCGGGGUAACGGCCCACCAAGGCGAAGAUCGGUAUCCGGCCUGAGAGGGCGCACGGACACACUGGAACUGAAACACGGUCCAGACUCCUACGGGAGGCAGCAGUGGGGAAUUUUGCGCAAUGGGGGAAACCCUGACGCAGCAACGCCGCGUGGAGGAUGAAGUCCCUUGGGACGUAAACUCCUUUCGACCAAGACGAUGAUGACGGUACUGGUGGAAGAAGCACCGGCUAACUCUGUGCCAGCCGCCGCUGUAAC